CAUGGCGCAGCUCCCCGAGGCUUGAGUCGAUGACUGUCAGUGUUGUUCCAAAUGUUAGCGUCUGUCCGGGGAUUGUCUGCCGCCUCCAAACGGGGCCACCUGACGCACACAAAACACCAGCCUGGCUUUUCCACACGGCAAAAUUAAAAAAAAGAGUAAAAAACUUAAUCAACAAGGAAAAACGUACUACACCCGCCUCGGAGCGAGGGAAAAGACAAGCGGUCACUGGUGUGGAGGUGUGUGCGGCCAGAGACUGGAGGUGCAUGUGCCAGUCACAACGCGCGGGAUACAACCCGGAAGCAUUUAGCCAGAGGUGGGACCAAGUCAUUGUUUUGCAAGUCACAAGUGCCCUGUGAGUGACUGACGACCAGCCCAGAAUGGAACAGGAUAUCGAAAAUAUGGAGGGACAUAAUUGACCAGCAGAGAUGGAACGACCGAUAAUGGCAUUCCUGGCUGGUAUUGGCUCCCCUUGUUCAUCAUCCCGCCAUCAUAACCCUGUUGGCCAACCAUGCGAUGAGGUGUCAUGGCCGAGCUUUUACCUUCUUCAUGAGGUUGUCGGGUGGGACGUCCCUCCUGCCAAGUGAGUACGGAACCCACUGAUUGCUCCCUGACACACCCUCUUGGUCAUUAUCCAGCAUGGCAGCUUGUUGAGAGGGGGUCUAGAAGACAGGAUAAGGGACAUAACGCUUGAAAUCCCUUGCCACAAAGACAGUACUGUCGCUGUUGAGUUGGCAACGCAGGUGAAUACCAAGAAAAUGGUGUCUUUCCCAACAUGGUCUAGGCCGAGCAGGGACUGUGUGAGCGCUGCCUGUGUUCUGUCAAUGUCUGCUAUACAACGCUACUGAGCAUGCGCACAUACACAAUAUUAAACAUUUUUGCCGAGAGAAAAAUACUUAUUGAAAGCGGUUACCUCGUUGACAAGUAAGAAGUGAUUUUAAAUGAUGUAUCUUCUGACCAGCAAGCAUGUAGACCAGUGGUCCCCAACCUUUUUGUAGCUGUAGCUUGAAAAUUUGUCCCACGGACCGGGGUGUGUUUUUUUUUUUUUUUUCAUAAAGAAAUACAAUCAUGUGUGCUUACGGACUGUAUCCCUGCAGACUUUAUUGAUCUAUAUUGAUAUAUAAUGUAUAUAAUGGGUUUUUUAUGCUGAUUUAAUAAUUUGAAAAAAAAAAAAAAUGUUGUUUUUAUUUUUUUUUUUAUUUCUUGUGCUGCCCGGUGGUUGGAGACCACUGAUGUAGACAAAUACAGUGUGAGGAAGUUCACAUUGUGCAGUAUAUUAACGGACAGUAAGCAUGCAGACAAAUACAGCCAGAGGAAGUUCACAUUGACAAAAACAAUGGUAUUGCUCACAUUUUCAUUUUAAUCACCGUUUUACCCUACUAGUAGCUUUUUUGAGGAAGCAGCGAAAUUCAACAGAACACUGGCACUGAAUAACUGCGGUUCUUUAAGGAAAACGUUAAUUUCGGCAUGGACUGUGAUAUUUUGAAGCAUCGUCGUUGCGGAUACUGGGCCACAUUGCAGUAUCCCAACAUGAUAACAACUUCAAUCACAUCUGGUUAAGACAGGUGAAGGUGAGACAAUAAUAACAUUGUAUUGAGGAAUUUCAAUCUAUACGACUAUCCAAGCUACACUGACUACACUUAGUAAU